UGACGGUACCACUUGAAUAAGCUCCGGCUAACUACGUGCCAGCAGCCGCGGUAAUACGUAGGGAGCAAGCGUUAUCCGGAUUUACUGGGUGUAAAGGGAGCGUAGGCGGUGAUGCAAGUCAGAAGUGAAAACCCGUGGCUCAACCAUGAGGAUUGCUUUUGGAACUGUUGGACUAGAGUGCAGGAGGGGUAAGUGGAAUUCCCAGUGUAGCGGUGAAAUGCUUAGAUAUUGGGAGGAACACCAGUGGCGAAGGCGGCUUACUGGACUGUAACUGACGCUGAGGCUCGAAAGCGUGGGGAGCAAACAGGAUUAGAUACCCUG
rnacentral:rRNA from 1 species